rnacentral:rRNA from 1 species
CCUACGGGUGGCAGCAGUGAGGAAUAUUGGUCAAUGGGCGCGAGCCUGAACCAGCCAAGUAGCGUGAAGGAUGACUGCCCUACGGGUUGUAAACUUCUUUUGUAAGGGAAUAAAAUGAGCCACGUGUGCCUUUUCGAAUGUACUUUAUGAAUAAGCAUCGGCUAACUCCGUGCCAGCAGCCGCGGUAAUACGGAGGAUCCGAGCGUUAUCCGGAUUUAUUGGGUUUAAAGGGAGCGUAGAUGGGUUGUUAAGUCAGUGGUGAAAGUUUGCGGCUCAACCGUAAAAUUGCAAUUGAUACUGGCAGUCUUGAGUACAGUAGAGGUAGGCGGAAUUCGUGGUGUAGCGGUGAAAUGCUUAGAUAUCACGAAGAACUCCGAUUGCGAAGGCAGCAUACU